UACGUAGGGCGCAAGCGUUGUCCGGAAUUAUUGGGCGUAAAGAGCUCGUAGGCGGUCUGUCGCGUCUGUUGUGAAAACUCGAGGCUCAACCUCGGGCUUGCAGUGGAUACGGGCAGACUAGAGUGCGGUAGGGGAGACUGGAAUUCCUGGUGUAGCGGUGGAAUGCGCAGAUAUCAGGAGGAACACCGGUGGCGAAGGCGGUUCUCUGGGCAUUGACCUGACGCUGGAGGAGCGAAAGUGUGGGGAGCGAACAGG
rnacentral:rRNA from 1 species